GUGGUGGUUGGGGGAAGCUUUGGAUGCAGAGAUUGCAAGGUGGUGGAGUUCCACAUUUUGUGUGGCAGAAACAAAGCAAUAAAUAAAAUUGCUACCCUAGGCUUCAGGAGAGCCAACUUGACUGUCAAAGACUUACUUGGAGGUAUCCCAUGGACUAGAGUUAGAAGAUCUCAAGAACCUGUUUGACCUUGUGCAAAUAUUUUGUAAGCAUUACCGAAGAAUAGGAGUGAUGGAAGAUAGCGUUCACAAACUAAGUUGCAACACUCCCAAGCAGACUGAAAAUAUAAAAUGCCUCAAGGCAGCUUUCUCUGGCUCAGUGCUAAGGGUGGAAGGUGUGCAAGUUCUCAGCUUGAAGUCCAUCUGUCUCUCAGCUGCAGAUUCUGAUAGGGCAGUGGCUGUCUGGAAUGGCCACUGAAAAUGUGUGGGCAAGAGGAUAGCUGAGCUCUUCUGGAAGCUGAUGCAUCACUGUCUGUGUUCGGAUGGCACUGAUGUGUGAGACUGUAUGGAAGUGCCUCAGAGAUGAGUCUCCUGGUGGUCAGAACCCAAUCACGGUCUUCCACUUCCCCUCAACUUGCUUUAUUCAGUCCAUUGCAAUUACUUCGCCCUUCAAGAUCAUAUCCAGACUUUUUUUGUUGUUCCUCCUCACCUACAUUAAAUAGCUCUCUGAAACGUUUUAUUUCUUCACCCUGAUGUUGUCUUUACACAAUAGAUCAAAGGAAAUGGAGCACAGCAAUUGGCUGCCUGACCAAACACCUUUUGUUUGACUGCUUUAGUGAAAGUCUGCCCAGAUGUGGCAAUGACUAACCCUGGGUCUGGGCAGAGGUCUGUACGACCUGUUCCCUGCAGUCUCUGCUGAAGUAGCAGGUGCUGGGCUCUGGCAACUAAGCUGGCCAAACCUGUGCUGCUCUCUAUUAUGCAACCAUUGCUCUGACUAAAGGUGCAACCUUUGACUAAAGUCUCAUGUAUUUUGUCUUGCUUGCAUUCUUUUAUCCCUGUGAUUUUUCUGUUCAGUGCAGUUAAAUAAGGUGGUAAGCCCGGUUAAAUAAGUUGGUUGCCUGAGAUGAGGUAAAAAUCCAGAUUGGCACAUCUUAAGAAAUGAAGAAACCACACAGCAGCAUACCUCUACCUAAUUGCUCUCGCACUGCAAACAGUUUUUUGACAGUGUUCCAAAUGUUGUGGAGGGAAGCUGGGAAAGAGAAAGAAAUUUAUAGCCAUUUUGCCUGCUUUACUUACUGCUCGUUUUUGUGCAGUCAAAGGUACUUUGGGCACAGAGGUUUUCUUAGAGGCUCAUCUUUUUUGAGGUCUAAAACAAAUCUCAAGCUUUUUUUAACUGGUUCUCCAUCUGACAGGUGUACGUGUGUAAGUUUAUAAAGAAUGCAGGGUAAGGAAUAGUUUCAAUGCUUAUAAAAUAGAAGUGCAGUUGUACUCUUCGCUUUGGCAAAGAUUUGUCAGUACUCCAAUAGAUACAGCUUUUUGCUUCAAAGCAAACAUUCAAGUACUAAGGUUUUCUAUUAUUUACCAUUCAACAUUACAACACAGGAUACUGAACAUGCUUAUAAUGCUUAUAAUUGGAAUAAAGGCCAUAUUUUAGGCUGUCCAUUGACUAUAUUGUGCUUCCAUCGUUCUCCAGACAUCCAGAAAAGACAGUCUCGUGGUGGUGCUCAUUUACCUCCGCUCUGUUUUUCCAUGCGCCGUAACUUCGUUAUGUAAGAGUCAUUUUUCAUGUUUUUCUGUUGAGUUUCAUAACUGUAAUUUGUACGUGUUUUAUUGUUUGGCCCUUGCAGUGAUUAUCUUGUGUGUAAAAUCUCACCAAGCUAUUAAAUAUUUUGCUGAGGUAAUAGAGGCAGCCUUUUUUCCAAACCUAUGCUGCCUAUCAUUUAAAGGUACUGAUAAGAUUGAUGGAAGAUAGCAGUGGAAGAGUUUGGCAGCUUCCCUGUUUGCUCUGGCACUGAUCCAUGUUGCGGAGGCUUUCUUCCAGGGUUAACCACAGCCCUCCGUAACAAUGUUACUCAACCUUCUGUUUUGUGCAGAUGGUCUUCAACUAAUGGAAACACUUGCAGCUCAUUCUUUUUUAUGGCACCUCCACUUAAUAGUAAAUCGCACUAGGAGCCCAAUAACGUCUAAGGUCCAAAAUCAAAUGCAGUUCUUCAAAAUCAGAAGUUAUUUUAAAUGAAUACUUCAAAUAAUUUUAAAAGGCUGUUAGAAGUAGUGAUGUGCAGAUUAAUGCUAAUGUUGCUUUGUGCCUCUGUGAUGUGGUUCUAUGAGUACAUGUUGGUGACAGAGGAGAGAAGUGGCAGCACUUUGAGUUCUGCUCCACUCCUUUUCUUCCAUGGUUUUCAAGAAUCGCUCCUUUUACUCCCAUGGUUCUGGAAUAGCACUUUGUGCUGUUAACCUCUAACCGUGAUUGAGUAUUUUCCAGAGCAGAAGAUAGUUUAAUUAAUAACAAAUCUCUUAGGUCUGACUGAUCACACCAGGUUAAAGGUUUUUAUUUUAAAAGUCAGUGCUGAGUGUUUCUCGGUUGGAAGUAAGUUAUUCAGGCAAUCAUUGCACAAACAAUGCAAAGUCCAUUCAUUAUCUAAUCUGAGGCUUUCUUGUAUCUUUCUACCAGGUGAGAUUUCCAUUUAUUAACCUCUUCUCUGUCAUUGUUACAAGCAAGCAGUCCUGACCGCAGGUAUUCAGAUGACGUUGUUGUUGUUGUUGUUCUCAAAGUCACUUUUCAAAAGUUACCCUUUUAAUUCAGGGUCAGAGGAUGCACUCACAAUGGAUGCACACUCUUAGUAAUUCAUGACAAUACACUGGCUCCUCUCAACAGUGAUUCGAAGUACCUACAUUAGCCCUUUUCUCUGCUUUGCUUUCUGACUGGCAGAGCCAAAGUCCAAGUCCUCUGAGCUAAUUAAAGUUCACUUUGAGCUCUUGCAGCUGCCUUCACCUUGAUGUUGAGACAAGUCUAUAGCUCACUUAAAACCUGGAGUCUGGAUCCUGCGCUUCUCCUCCCUUAUUCUCCAUGGUCAGUGCUUAAGACUAAAUGGCUGGCACUCGACCUUGUUUGAAGCCAAUUUAGAACGUAACUAGGAUAAGUUCAGGAGCAAGAGAAGCUCUGUGUCAUCACAAGUUCACCUGAUGGUCAUUCGUGCAGUCAAACUGAUCUUGUAUAAACAACUGUGCAACUUUACACUUUUACCUGCCUUCUUGUUCUACUUCUGUCACCUGAUUUUAUUUGCAAUCCAAACUCUCAGGCUUAUUUCCAGAGCUGUUUGAGAAUCAAAGAUUAUUAAAUGUCAGCAAUAU
ensembl:lncRNA